rnacentral:misc_RNA from 1 species
AGCAGGUCUAUUCGUGAUCACUGCUGCGGUUUCCUUUUCUUUGUUCCUUCUCCCACUUUCGCUCUCUUACUGAACCCGCCACCGCCCCCUCCCCACAACGAACUUCCGCUGAUAUAACCACUUUUAGAAACAAAAAAGCACGCAUAUAUCAACCCGCCUUUUGCCUGCGCCGUGCUACGCGGUCUUUCUCUUUCUCGACUCUUCUCCCCCCUUUUCGUUUUCACGGGUUACACAUAAGCCCCCUCAUAGCAACCCUGCACAGCAUACACACCGAUACACACGCAGCCUCUCUUCUCGAUUUAUACACCUCUUCCGCAGGAAGUGCCUCUACGUAUUCGUGUGUGCUAUGCGCAUGCGUUCGUGAUUGCCACUGUCCGUGUUUUGCUUUCCCGUUGCCGUCUUGCCGCCUCCCUACGACUUCCCCCUUGCGUGUGUGUGUGUGUCUACGGUACGUGUUUUGUCGCGUUGCUGACGUGGUAGCGCCUUUCCGUUCUUCCGUUGGUUGCUUGGCUGUUCCCUCUUCUGUGCCUCUCCGCGGCGGCGAAUAUAGACUUCGAAGGGAGAGCAAGCAUACCGAACGCAGCCGCAACCGCAACAAGGAAGCGAAUCACGCGGAGAAGUGGCCCACCAUUCUACGUUGAGCUGACGUGCACGUGUUGUUGUUGUCCGUGUCGUGGAGGGGCUCCUCAUUCUUCUUAUUUUGUGGGUUCUCACCGUUGUUCUUGAGGGUGCCUUCUCUCCUGUUCUGUGUAUCUUAUUGCGCAGCGAAUAAAGCAGUUUUCGCGCUGAGCCUGGCGCACAGCCCUACAGCAGCAGGCACACACACACACACACACACACAAAAGCACACUGGCCGAAGGCACGAACUUACGUGAUCGGUGAAGUGUCGCUGUGUGAGAAAACGAAACACACACACACACAUGAACAAGUGCAUGUGAUUCACCGUUUUGUUUUGUCUACUUUUGAUCUUCCCGUGUUGUUUGUAAAGCUGCUCCUCUCUGGCCUGCGUGACAGCCGCACCAUCACAACAUACAAUUUCCCAUUUCUUCCUCCCCUCUACCAUCAUCAUUGACCCGCCCGACGGCGUCAGCAGCGCGUGUGUUGGCUUUUUCAGUUUGUUUCGGUUAGUAAAGGCCAGCUAGGCGACUUCAACACCGCUUUCUUUUCCUUUUCUCACCUCCGCAGAAACGUCGAUUUCCCGAGCAGCAGCAUAGUUGCACGCUUUAGAGGAGAGCGACGCAGAGCGAAGCCCGCCAAGCCCGUUGAGGAAGUCGAGGUGCCGCUGCAGCGAAGGGAAAAAGAACAACAGAGCGCAGCAGAUAUGAGCGUCGACUCCAUUAUCGAGCAGCUGCUCGAGGUGCGUGGCGCGAAGCCGGGCAAGCAGGUGCAGUUAGCCGAGAAUGACGUGAAGCAGCUGGCGAUACGCACGCGCGAGAUUCUUCUCUCGCAGCCGCCUCUGCUAGAGCUGGAGGCGCCCAUCAAGAUCUGCGGCGAUAUUCACGGCCAGUACUACGACCUUAUCCGUCUCUUCGAGAACGGCGGCUUCCCGCCGACAGCGAACUACCUCUUCCUCGGCGACUACGUGGACCGCGGAAAGCAGGGUCUCGAGACCAUCUGCCUGGUCUUCGCCUUCAAGGUGAAGUUUCCCGAGAACUUCUUCAUCCUUCGAGGUAACCACGAGUGCGCCAGCAUCAAUCGCAUCUACGGCUUCUUCGACGAGUGCAAGCGCCGCUACAACAUUCGUCUCUGGAAGGCGUUCACAGAUACGUUCAACUGCCUUCCUGUGGCGUGUAUUAUCGAUGACAAGAUCUUCUGCUGCCAUGGUGGCCUUUCGCCGGAGCUGCAGACGAUGGACCAGAUCAAGAAGAUCACACGCCCGUGCGAUGUGGCGGACACUGGUCUGAUCUGCGACUUGCUGUGGUCAGACCCGGAGGAAGGUCUCUCGGGGUGGGGCGAGAACGACCGUGGCGUGUCCUUCACUUUCGGUCAGGAUAUUGUAGAGAAGUUCUUGAAUAAGCACCAGUUUGAGCUGAUUUGCCGCGCGCACCAAGUCGUAGAGGAUGGGUACCAGUUUUUCGCGAAGCGCAAGCUCAUCACCAUCUUCUCUGCCCCUAACUACUGUAAUGAGUUCGAUAACAGCGGCGCCGUGAUGACCGUGGACAACGAGCUCAUGUGCUCCUUCCAGAUCCUUAAGCCGUCUGUGAAGAAGCCGAAGUUCUACUCGUAACGAGACGUAUGCGAGAAGAAUGGGAGAGGAGGAGGAGGGGCGCCGUUUUCGGAUUGCACCGGCGUGCAGCUGAAAAGGCGCGAUAAGCAAAAACAAACAAGAAGGAAGAAGAAAGGAAGGCGCAGCGCCGUGUGUGUGUGUGCGUGUUGGGGGGUUCAUAUGUCUCCCCUCUUCCGUUUCAUCGACUGGCUGCGCCGCUUUGCUUUUUCCUUUUUGCGUGCGUGUUAAGGCUUGACUGGUGCACGUUGGCGCGUCUCUGUGUUUCGUGCUCCCCACCCCCUCCUCUCUCUCUCUCCGCGCGCGCUUCAUACUUUCCUUCUCGUUGCUGCUGCUCUUGUUGCCGUCGUCGUUCGCUUGUUGUUCGUCUCCUCGGCCUCUGUCGAUCUAUUUUUCCCUUUGGUCUGCGGGGCGCCUCUCUUCUUUUACCCUGUGCGUCCGUGCCUGCAUGUCGCUCGUUCGUUGCGUUCUUGCACCUGUCGAUGUUGUAUUAGACAUGCUUGGUGAUGCGAUAUACGGCGCGAGAGAGUGUAUGGGCGCGCGUUAGUGUUUCUCUCUGUGUAUGCGUAUGUCAGGCAGCGCCUAGCAUGCCGGAUGAUAUCAACGCGGAUGUAUGUCACCCCAAGGAGCGGCAACCAUAUCCCCCUCUUCUUUUCUACUAUUGCGGGCCCACACUCAUGUUUACUGCUCGUCUUCGCGGCACCCUCUGCAUCCAGAAUGGAUCUCUCCUCUUUUGUUCUCUCCCUCUCCGUGGCUCUCCUUUCCAUCACAUACGCCAUCGUGGGGGUCAUCGUUGCGAGGGUGGGUCUGAGAAGGGACUCUUGUGUGUUCUCGGCUUAUCUGCGCGCGUGGGUCUGUACGGGCGUGCGUGUGUGGAGACGCGUGCCCCUUCUAUGCUAUGGGCAACGCAAAACCAGCGCAACACCCACACACCCACUUACACUCAUGCGCGCAGAGAAUCGAAUCAGGUGCAAGGAACCUCCUUUUUUUUGCUCUCGCCCACCGAUAGAUCCUUGUCCAACUCUUCUUCACUCUCUUGCUCUGACCGUCUUCCUACCUUUCUCUCCUCCCACGCGUGGGCCCUGCCGAGGCGCGCAUCUCUGGUGUCCUUCUCUCUCUUCUGCCCUGAAGGCGAAACAAAAAUCAACUAGGAGGCACACAAGGAUCGGAAAGCGCAGAAAGAAGCGGGAGGAGGCAGUGUAUGUAUGUGGAGAUGAGCGGAAUGUUAUAGCGUACAAGGGAGCAAAAACAAGUACGCGCGUGCAAGAGCAACGAAUAACGUAACUCAAGUGAGGGUGGCUGAGGCGCGUUGGUGUCGUCUUCGAUUGCGCCUGUUUUAUACUCUUCUAUGCCCCUUGCCGAGUGUGUCUGUGAUACUCUGCACUGAUGGAUGAGGUGUGGAAGUAGGUGAGGGGUAAAGGGUAGAUGAUACUGUGAAUGGUGUGGCGACGGUCGCGCCUGCGUAUGUGAGGGUGGCGUGUGACUCAUGUUCCUUUUUCUUUGUUCUCUGUUCUACAUUUUUCGUUUUCGUUUCGUGCCCGUGCCUGUGCGUGAUCGUGUGGGGGCGUAUGCGCGAUCAUGGCGAUGAUGCCGAUUGCAAGGAGCCCUAUCUUUUUCUCCAUGCCUCUGAGUGUGCGUGAUGGUGUUUGUGUGUGUGUGGUCGUGCUGGAGUGUGCCUUUCCAGUUUUGCCUUUCCUUGUCUUCUGUCGACGAUGUCGACAAACCCCCAAUGUACGACCCCUUUCCCCUUCCCUUCUUUAUUUGCCCCAUGUGUGCGUGUGUGUGUGUGCCUGUCUGUGUCUCUCUGUAUGGGUGUGUGUUCUUGUGUGUUUCUACCUUCUCCUCAUUAACAAAAUCCAACAGAAAGGGAAU